UAACUUGAGAGUUUGAUCCUGGCUCAGAACGAACGCUGGCGGCAGGCCUCAAACAUGCAAGUCUAGGGGGCGUAGCAAUACGUCACCGGCGGACGGGUGCGUAACACGUGGGAAUGUACCUAUUGGUUCGGAACAACGCAGGGAAACUUGCGCUAAUACCGAAUGUGCCCGAAAGGGGAAAGAUUUAUCGCCAAUAGAUCAGCCCGCGUCCGAUUAGCUAGUUGGUAGGGUAAUGGCCUACCAAGGCGACGAUCGGUAGCUGUUCUGAGAGGAAGAUCAGCCACACUGGGACUGAGACACGGCCCAGACUCCUACGGGAGGCAGCAGUUGGGAAUCUUGGACAAUGGGGGAAACCCUGAUCCAGCCAUGCCGCGUGAGUGAUGAAGGCCUUAGGGUUGUAAAGCU
rnacentral:rRNA from 1 species